CGCAUCUGUGCAUGCAGCAUAUCAAUAGCGGAGGAAAAGAAACUAACAAGGAUUCCCUUAGUAACGGCGAGUGAAGCGGGAAGAGCUCAAAUUUGAAAUCUUCAAGGUUUUACCUUGACGAAUUGUAGUUUAAAGAAGUGUUUUCUGUUGAAGUUUUGGUAAAAGUUCUUUGGAAUAGGACAUCAUAGAGGGUGAGAAUCCCGUAUUUGACCAUUAUUUUCAGCUGUGUGAUACACUUUCAAAGAGUCGGAUUGUUUGGGAAUGCAGUCCAAAAUGGGUGGUAAAUUUCAUCUAAAGCUAAAUAUUGGCGAGAGACCGAUAGCGAACAAGUACCGUGAGGGAAAGAUGAAAAGAACUUUGAAAAGAGAGUUAAACAGUACGUGAAAUUGUCAAAAGGGAAGCGUUUGACACCAGUGUUGUUUUCUCGAAAAUCAAUUAAAAAGAGUUUGAUUUUGUUGUGUAUUGACCUUAACAGCUUGCAUUUCAAUUUUCUUGCUUUUUUUAAUGCACUUUUCGUUUAACAAGUCAACAUCAGUUUCUUUUGUUGUAAAAAGGUCAUUGGAAGGUGGCUUUCUUUUCGGAGAAAGUGUUUAUAGCCUUUGACUCCUGCAAUCGGAGAGACUGAGGUCUGCAGCGUAGAUCCUUCGGGGUUAGAUACAUUUGUGCUAAGUUAUAGCUUUUUAUAGACAACUUGUUGACUAUGAUUAGUCUUGUAGCUUACUCGCUUAUGCUAUUUUACCUACGCUUAGGAUGUUGACACACGCGCGUGCUCG
rnacentral:rRNA from 1 species